AAGUGUUUAUGAAGCGUCUGCUGAAUCCCUCCAGCUCCGCAGACAUGAAAGAGAAGACACUCCCUGCCAAACCACCAGAUGUGGAACAAAGAGGGAUUUUGCUCCAGAAGGUGCAGCUGAGAUGCGGAAUCUUCAAGUAUUCAGGCUUACUGAAGCUGCAGGUGUCUUAUCUAACAGCUUUGGAAAUUGUUGCCAAGGAGCCCCCCUCUCCUGUUCUGAGGCC